GAUGAACGCUGGCGGCGUGCCUAAUACAUGCAAGUCGAGCGAACGGACGAGAAGCUUGCUUCUCUGAUGUUAGCGGCGGACGGGUGAGUAACACGUGGAUAACCUACCUAUAAGACUGGGAUAACUUCGGGAAACCGGAGCUAAUACCGGAUGAUAUUUUGAACCGCAUGGUUCAAAAGUGAAAGACGGUCUUGCUGUCACUUAUAGAUGGAUCCGCGCUGCAUUAGCUAGUUGGUAAGGUAACGGCUUACCAAGGCAACGAUGCAUAGCCGACCUGAGAGGGGGAUCGGCCACACUGGACCUGAGACACGGUCCAGACUCCUACGGGAGGCAGCAGUAGGGAAUCUUCCGCAAUGGGCGGAAGCCUGACGGAGCAACGCCGCGUGAGUGAUGAAGGUCUUCGGAUCGUAAAACUCUGUUAUUAGGGAAGAACAUAUGUGUAAGUAACUGUGCACAUCUUGACGGUACCUAAUCAGAAAGCCACGGCUAACUACGUG
rnacentral:rRNA from 1 species